rnacentral:lncRNA from 1 species
GAUGAUAUUGGCAGUAAAUGGACACAUGAACAGACCGAAAGCUUGACUUCAAUCUUUUGAAUUGGGAUUACAUGUUCAGAGGAAGCCCCUGCACAGAGAAUGAAUAUGAAACAAGUUGCAGUACAUCUGAAAUCCUUAAAAAGUGUUAUAAACUUCAGUUUUGAAUGUACUGAAGUUCAUAUGCUAAAGGUUGUAAUUUCUUCCUGGGUAGAUGGUAUAGCCACAUUGAUUGCCACUUGGUGAUCAAUUUGGCUACCGCAACGUGUGACUUACCAUACCGUCCAAACUAUGCUGCAUCUUUAAAUAGAUAGAAUCAGGUUAUAUAAUUUUUUACAAUUCAAAGAAUGACAAGUAUGAUUUUUUAUUAUUUACCACCAUAUUAUAUAAAAACAAUGUCUAGAUAAAAAUAUAAUAGAAACAUAGAGUUUUAUUUUAUUAUUUAUAUACAUAUUAAUAUAUUAUAUAAAAAUGAUAUCAAGAGAAAUAACACAACUAAAUCAUAGCUAAAACAUGCCCGUGCCUCGCACGGGCUAUAAAGCUAGUAUUAAGAAUUGAGAAUCAACGUGUUUCAUGUGUUUCAAUCGAUAUUCAAUUUUGAUUUCUCAUGAUCGAUAGAUGUAACUAAAUUUUGCAUGUAUAUUACAUAAUUUCAAAAAUUAAAAAAAAGUAUUAAAAUAUAUGCUUUCAAAUGUAAAUUUUCGUGUAAUAGCAUAUUAAUAUAGUUGAAACAGGAAUUUUAGUAAAUUUUUUGAGUAGGAUGGGUUAAAUUUCAGAAGGGGUUUAUAUAUAGAAGAUUUUAAAUUGUACUUAAAAAAGAAAUUAUAAGAGUCGGAGUACUGGCCUUGAACACCUCUUCCAGAUCCGCCGCUGCCUCCCUCGUCUUCUGUACAGCUGUAUAGCUUUGCCAUACCGCGGAAGCUGUUGGGAAAUUCGUUUGUAUCCCAAACUAAUUCAUUUAUGUCAACGUUCUAGACUUGCGUUUUUUUUCAUUUGCUCUGUUUACAAUAAUGUAAUAGUGCAAUGGUUUGUCACAUGACAAGGACUAUCUGUGCUCUGAUGGAAA